AGAAGACUUGGUGCAUUCUGUUUGAGCGAUUGAAUGGGAAGCAUCCAUUUUAAUUGUGCGCAGCAGAGUUACUUCAAUCGUUUCUUUAAGUAAAUAUAAUAAGUCAGGUAUUCGAUGGCUUCUGUUAGCCAAAACUGGAUGAUAAAAUGUUUUGUGUCAAAAAAAAUUCCCGCAAAGGGUUUAUACACAGCUCUAAAAGAAUCGUUGGCCAAGGACUCCGAGAGGACCCCGACACGUGUUUGAGAAAGGCGAUG